rnacentral:rRNA from 1 species
UACGUAGGUGGCAAGCGUUGUCCGGAUUUACUGGGUGUAAAGGGCGUGUAGGCGGAGCUGCAAGUCAGAUGUGAAAUCCCGGGGCUUAACCCCGGAACUGCAUUUGAAACUGUAGCCCUUGAGUAUCGGAGAGGCAGGCGGAAUUCCUAGUGUAGCGGUGAAAUGCGUAGAUAUUAGGAGGAACACCAGUGGCGAAGGCGGCCUGCUGGACGACAACUGACGCUGAGGCGCGAAAGCGUGGGGAGCAAACAGG